AUUGAACGCUGGCGGCAGGCCUAACACAUGCAAGUCGAGCGGAGCGGCGGACGGGUGAGUAAUACCUAGGAAUCUGCCGGGUAGUGGGGGAUAACGUCCGGAAACGGGCGCUAAUACCGCAUACUAGCAGAUGAGCAUAGGUCGGAUUAGCGAGUGGGUGGGGUAAAGGCCUACCAAGGCGACGAACCGUACCUGGUCUGAGAGGAUGAUCAGUCACACUGGGACUGAGACCCUGUCCAGACUCCUACGGGGGGCAGCAGGGGGGAAGAUUGCACAAUGGGCGCAAGCCUGAUGCAGCCAUGCCGCGUGUGUGAAGAAGGCCUUGGGGUUGUAAAGCACUUUCAGCGGGGAGGCGUUACCCGCAGAAGAAGCACCGGCUAACUCCGUGCCAGCCGCCGCGGUAAUUC
rnacentral:rRNA from 1 species